rnacentral:lncRNA from 1 species
ACUUGUGUCAAGACAUAAUUUGUCAAAAGACAAUUUUGAAAGUAGCAAGAGAGAAGCAACUCAUCACGUACAAGGGAUCUUCAAUAAAAUCAGGUGAAUUACUUCAACAAAAAUCUUGGUGUGCAGAAUGCCAAGGAAUGAUAUAUUUAAAAGGCUGACAGGGAAAAACAAAAACCUAUCAACUAAUUUUUCAAUAUGCAGCCAAACUGUCCUUUAAAAAAUGGAGAAAUUAUGACUUUCUCAAAUAAACAAAAGCUGACAAAGUUGAUUAUCAUUAAACCUGCUCUAUGAGAAAUGAUAAAAGCAGUCCAUCUGGCUGAAAUGAAAGGACACAAAUAAUUCAAAGCCAUAUAAAAAUAUGAAAAUCUCUGGUAAGAGUAGAUACAUAGACAAAUAUAAAUAUGUCUAAGAGUAUCUAAAGGAUUCUACAAUAAAGGCAACUCAAUUAAAUAAUGGAAAUAGUACUCAGACAUUUCUCCAAAUAAUAUGUACCAGUGACCAUGAACUGCAUGAGUAAAUGCUCCUCAUCAUUAUUUGUUAGGGAAAUACAAAUCAAAACCAUGAGGUAACACUACACUCCCCCAAGAUGCCUAUAAUCAAAAGAUGGAAAUUAGCAAAUGAUGAGAAUGUGGAGAAAUCAACCCUCAUCCAUUGCGAGUGGGAUAUAAAAUGAGGCAGCCACUGUGGAGAACAUUUUGGCAGUUCCAAAAUAUAAAAUUAAAAUGUGACCAAUUAAUUCCUCUAAUAUCCCCAAAUUGAAAUUUCAAGCAAAAAUCCAUAUGUCAAAUGUUUAUAGCAGCCCUAGUCACAGAAAUUAAGAUGUGGGGAAAAUCCAAAUGUUUAUCAAUGAAUGGUUAAACAAAAUGUGGAAUAUGCAUACCAUGUAAUAUUCAGUUAUAAAAAGGAAUGAAAGGGAUACAUGCUACAACAUGGAAGAACCUCAAAAACAUUAUGCUAAGUUUUUAAAGAAGGCACAUACAAAAGGCCACAUUUUAUAUGAUUCCAUUUAUGUGAAAAUGAAUUGGUAAAUCUGUGAAGGCAGAAAGCAGAUUACUGGUUGUCAGGGGCUGUGAGAAUGGAAUGAAGAUUGCUUAAUGGACAUGGGGUUUCCUUUUAGAGUAAUAAAAUAUUUGGUAAUUAGAUAGAGGUGGUAGUUGCACAAAGUUGUUAAUGUACUAAAUGCCAUUAAAUUUUACACUUUUAAAUGGUUCAUUUUAUGUUAUGUGACUUUUACCAUAGUAAUAAAAAAUAAUACUCAAGGCGUACAUGUUUCCAGGCUACAAGGGGAUUAAAUUAGAAAUCAGUAACAGAAAAAUCUCUGGAAAAUCAUGGAUAUUUGAAAUUAGUUACCAAACUCACACACAAAUCAAAAGAAAAAUUAAGAUGAAUUUUGAACUAAAUGAGAACAUAAAAAUUUGUUGAAUUUCAUCAAGGUAAUUAGGACAAAAUUUAUAGCACUAAGCAUCUAUAUUAGAAAAGAAGAAAGGUCUCAAAUGAUGACAUCAGCUUCCAUCUCAACAAACUAUGAAAGGAAGAACAUAUAAAAUCCAAAAUAAGCAGAAGAAAGGAAAUAAUAAAGAUCAGAGCAGAAAUCAAUGAAAUAUAAAACAAAAAAUGAUAAAGUCAGUGUAACAAAGUUUGUUCUUUGAGAAAAAUUAAAAUUGACAAACUUUAAGCCUAAUUGAUCAGGGUAAAAAUGAAGACACAAAUUAGCAUUUUAAAGACUAAAAAUGUUGACCUCACUUCAGAUUCUACUGAUAAUGAAAGAACAAGUGAAUAUUGUGAACAUUUUGUCAGUAAAUUCACUGAUUUUGCCUAUCAAUGGUAAAUCUCAAGUUAUCUGGAAAGAAACACACAUGGUACCAGCAUCUUAACAGUACUUACUAGGAAAGCCAACCUGAUUAAUUUCUUCAUAUGAACACUUUAAAAAUCAGUGUGAUCAAUUUUAUCCUCUCAUUUUUAUUCAAAUUAAUUAUCAGAAUGUAAAUUAUUAUAAAUAAAACUUUGAUUUAUCUAAAUGGCACUUUUCAGAACAUCUGAACCUUAGUAUACAAAUUUUGCUUUAAGAUUAAUAAUAUUUAAGUGACUGCAAAUGAAAGGCUAUCCUGGUAUGGCUGUCAGUAUUAAAUGCUACUGCAGUGUUUGAUUUACUGAAACGUCUGUGUUCAAAAGAGAAUUUCUUGACCUGUCCUAAAGACAUCAACUGUUAGUCCCCUACUAACACAUUAUAUGUUAGUAUUCCUAGGAAAUGUAUUAGCUAAUAUUUGAACUAUUUUGAUGGUAUAUUUGAAACUUUCUGUUGAGAUACACAUGUAGAAAAGAGCAUGCACUAUAAUUGUACAGCUUAAAAAUUUGCCAUGUAACAGCAACUAAUCAACACACUGGUUAAGAUACUUUCAUAAGUAAAAGUGCUAUUAUGCUAGUCAUACUCUGCUACUAUAUCUGAAUCCUAUACUAUUGUAGAGUAAUAAUAUGAGCAAUUUACUGAAUAUAUACCAUGCAUCAGUGUGCUGUCAUACUCUUGAUUGAGACAGUAUUCCUGACUUCGUGGCUAUGUCAAUCUACUAAUAGUAAGAAAUAUGCAAAUAAGAAUUUGUGAGAACAUAAUUUUAAAAGUAAAAACAUACCCCAUUGUUCUUGGUGUUCGUUUGCGUGCUCAAAGGUCUGUUAAUUAUUGAAGUUCUAGGGUUCAUUUCAAUUUCUGGCUAAGCCAAUUUCCUUUUUGAUCUAUGAGUACUUUUAGGUUAUUACUCAUUCCUUUAGAAUUAUCUUCUUAAGUACAAAUGCAAGUACUAAUUGAUAGAGUUUCUGAAGAACUUUCUCAAGAAAAAAAUUACCUUUCCUUUGUUUUUCAAAAGAAUAUUGCAAUUUUCAUCAUAUAAAAACUUCCCAGCCUUGAAAAGAUCUAGCAAAAUUUCACAUUAUAACUUUCUUUUCUUUUUUUUUCUUUUGCUUUUUAGGGCCACAUCCAUGGCAUAUGGAGGUUUCCAGGCUAGGGGUCAAAUCAGAGCUGUAGCUGCCAGCCUAGGCCAUGGCCACAGCAAUGUGGGACCUGACUUGUGUCCGCAACCUACACCACAGCUGUCGGCAACACUGGAUCCCUAACCCACUGAGCAAGGCCAGGGAUCGAACCUGCAACCUCAUGGUUACUAAUUGGAUUUGCUUCUGCUGUGCCACAGUGGGAACUCCCACAUAUAACUUUCCAUGUUACAAAAGUAAGUAAUUUUUAUGCUAAUCAAGAAAUACUGAAGUAGAAACAAUAUAGUGCAGUAUAACCACAAAGUCCUGUGAAUUAUGGAGUCUCCUUAAAUCCCAGCAAUUAAACAGAUAAGGAAAAUAUUUUGAUAAUAUAAUAUUUUGGUACAUUUGGAUUUUACUACAAUAAUUUUUGAUUGAAUAUGAAAUUGACAAAAAUAUUCUCUAAAAGUCUCUACAUUUCCCAUCAAAGCAGAAAAGAGUUAAAAUGGAAGAAGAAAUUACACAGAUUCAAUAAUGUAAGUGACCUUGGCGAGGGUCUCAGAAAAAGGACACAUCAAAAUAUUCUCAAAAAACCCUCUCAAAAAGAUAAACAGAGACCUCAGGACCUGGCAAAGAGCAUAUGACAUAUGAAUUUCAAAUAGCUACUCACCCUUAUUCUCUGAAGUGGAAGACCUCAUUCCAGUCUUUCUAGCUCAGCAAAACAUGACAGAAAGGAAAGACAGUCUAAGAAAAUAAUCAAUAGUAAAAAUAACUAAAAUUCACUUCUCUUACCAUUAUUUAAUAUAUGCAUGCAGUGUUCCCUUCUUUUAGUCCAACAUUAAUGAGACUUUCAAUACCUGUCACAGCUGCUUGUCCCCUUCUAAUUCAAUGUUUUCCAUUUUCUCAUUUUAUUCAAGUAUACAGUUAUGUAUAGUCAUAUUUAUGACUCUUGGUUCUACUGAGCAAAAUGAAGUAAAAUGGGUCACUGAUCAUAAAGGUGCAUAUUGCCUUACAUGUAGAAAUGAAUACCCUUUUCAUUGAGAAAGAAAAAAGUGUUCUGACAGUGGUAUUAUGUUGUUUCUAAGAGGUCACCAAAGAGAGCCAGGCUCUGAGAGUCUUAUUUGUCCUAUUAGAAGGGGCAUUCAUCUGGACCUCAGAUUGACAUCUGGAAUGAGUCUCUCAGCAUCCUCAGACAGUUGUGCUCAUCAUCGAUCCAGACAAGCACCCUCCCAACAAAUAAGCAUUUCCAUAGCCAGGCUUAUUUCCUUUAGGCUUAUCUAUUGCGUCAUGAAUAAAGAACAAUAUGUGGUAUUAAAUAAUGGAAUUCUUAUAUUAAUAGCCUGGGAAAAUGUGACCUUGGAUUGUCCUAAAAAUUACAUCAAAUCUAUUGGGAAAAUAAAAAUAACUAUAAAUUUGAAGAGUAAAUAAUGUAUCAAAAUUAUAUGUAGUAUAAUUACAGUACAAAUAAAAGUAGAAGCAACUAUAUUCUGAAUGUUCCAGAUAAAGAUUAUAAACAUCAAUGUUUAGCAUACUUGCAUUUCACUACAAGAUUAUUGUUUGUCAUCCAGUAUAAAAUGGUGAAAAGGAAAUAUGGCAAUGACUCCGAAAUUAUUCAGGUUAUUAUUUUUAAAAAUGGAAGAAACACUAAAAUUCCUUUAACCAUAUAGAGACAUUCACAAGAAAAAAAUAUAUAUCAAAAAUAGGAGUUCCUGUUGUGGCUCAGUGGUUAACAAAUCCGACUAGGAACCAUGAGGUUGCGGGUUCAAUCCCUGCCCUUACUCAGUGGGUUAACGAUUUGGCGUUGCCGUGAGCUGUGGUGUAGGUUGCAGAUUCGGCUCAGAUCCCGCGUUGCUGUGGCUCUGGCGUAGGCCGGUGGCUACAUCUCUGAUUCGACCCCUAGCCUGGGAACCUCCAUAUGCCGCGGGAGCGGCCCAAGAAAUAGCAAAAAGACGAAAAAAGAUAUAUAUAUUAUUCCUUGAGUCUCUGAAAUAAUGACCUCACAGACUUUAACAACUGACAUCACUAGUCAUAAAACACAAGAAUUUCAAAUUACCAGAAUAGCUGCUCACUUUCCUUCCAUGAAAGUAAUUUGUUCACUUGAAAGAAGAGUAACAUUUUGUAGUUUUGACCUACAGCAUAACAUUACAAAGAAAAAUAGAUCAGAUCAUACAAUGCAUUAAAUUAAUUAAAAAUAAAACGUUGGUUUCAUUUAAAUUAAUCAUAUAAAAAUUAAAAAUAAUCAUAUAAGCAUUCCUUGACACAAAAUCAGUUUUUUGAUCCAUUGUAACCCAUGCCAUUUCAUUUAUUCACUUAUUUCCUCUCUGAGUUCUUUAUUUAGUAAGUAGCCAAUAAUGCUCUCUACUGAACUAUUAAAAUAAGUGACACAGCAGUUAUCUCAAAUGGAAAAUUGUAAAAUUGUAUUUAACCUAAUCAAGACUAUAUAAAUACCUUGCUAUGUAAAAAAUAUCCUGUGAUGAACAAAAUGCAAGGCAUAUGAUUGGUGUACUGUGAUAUUAUUGAGGUUAUCAGUCAAGCCAGUUCUGAGAGUUUUGUCUUAUUGUAAGACCACUCAGCUGGAUCUCAGUAACCUCAAUACUUAUGCUCAUCCUUGAUCCAGGCAGGUUAACUAUGAACUAAUAAGCACACCUUACACCACACUAAUGCUCUUGACAAUUUACCACUUGCAUUCAGCUUAUAGUAGAAAUGGCGCAGGUGGACAUUUGACUUGAUUUUAGUAACUGGGUUUAUAAUGGCAACUUCAGAAGCGUCCCAGCAUCCUUCUGUUUAGAGUCAAACAUGAAGUGAUUAUUGCAGUGUGGCAGUUUUUAAUGCUGAUAUAUUUAUGCAGUAUGAUAGGAACAAUCAGUAGUUAACUGUGCACUUGGGUUAUAUCAUUUAAGAUUACUAAAGUAUGUGAAGUAUAUACAAUGUGAUAAUCCCAUCUGAUAGAAGAAGUCACAUUCAAUGUGAAUCCAUAUCUUCCUUGUCAAAGAAGAUAUGCAUUCAUAUCAAAACCAUAUGAUAAAAACCUCUACAAAACAACGGGAAACAACAAAAUGGCAAUAGGUACAUAGCUAUCAAUAAUUAAUUAUAAUGACCUAAAUGUUUCAAUCAAAAGAUAUUCUGCGAACAGAAACAAAGCUGAAGUAGCAAUACUUAUAUAAGACAAGAUAGACUUUAAAACAAAAGCUGUAACAAGAGAUGAAGAAGGGCAUUGUAAUGAUAAAGAAAUAAACCUAACAAGAUAUAAUAAUUGAAAAUAUCUAUGCAUUUGAAAUGGGCCCAUCUAAAUACAUAAAGCAAAUAUUAACAAACAAGCAAAUUGACAGUAACAAUAAGUGCACAGGUCUUUAACACCACCAUUACCUCAAUGGACAGAUCAUCUAGACAGAAAAUCAAUAAGGAAAUACUGGGCUUAAAUUAAUCAUUAGAUCGGGUGCACUUAAUGGAUAUAUGUAGAAUAUUCCAUGCAAAAGCCACAGAUUACAUUCUUUUCAAACCACAUAGAACAUUCUCUGCAAUAGAUCCCAUGCUAGGCCACCAAAAAAGUCUCAAUAAAUUUAAGAAAGUUGAAGUUACAUUAAGUAUUUUUUUCCAACCACAAUGAUAGCAAUUACAAGGAAAAAGACUGCAAAACCCACAAACACAUGGAGUCUAAACUAUAUGAUACUAAAUAGCCAAAGAGAUAAUAAAAAUAGACCUGGAGACAAAGGAAAAUGUAAACACGACACAACUUUCCAAAAUCUUAGCAACAAAAGCAGUUAUAAGUGGGAAGUUUGAAGUGACACAAGCCUACUUUAGGAAAUAAACAAAUAUUAAAGAGUAUAACUACACCUAAAGGAAUUAGAGAAAGAACAAACUUAAAAGUUAUUAAAAAUGAAAUAAGAAAGAGCAGAAAUAAAUAAAAUAGGGCCCAAAAAAGUAGAAAGUUCAAUGAAACAAAGAAUCAUCAAGAGAGCAGACCUGGAAUUCCUGCUGUGGUGCAGUGGGUUAAGAAUCUGACUGCAGUGGCUUGGGUCACUGUGGAAUUGCAGUUUCAGUCCUAAACGUGGUACGUUGGUUAGGGAUCCUGCAUUGCCACAGCUGUGGUAUAGGUCACAACUGAGUCUUGGAUUUGAUCUCUAGCCUAAGAACUUCCAUAUGCCAUGGCAUAGCCAUUGAAAAAAAGAGAGCAAACCCAAAUAAAACCAGUAAUAAAAAUGAAAAGUGGAGUUCCCGUCGUGGCGCAGUGGUUAACGAAUCCGACUAGGAACCAUGAGCUUGCGGGUUCGGUCCCUGCCCUUGCUCAGUGGGUUAACGAUCCGGCGUUGCCGUGAGCUGUGGUAUAGGUUGCAGACGCGGCUCGGAUCCCGCGUUGCUGUGGCUCUGGUGUAGGCUGGUGGCUACAGCUCCGAUUCGACCCCUAGCCUGGGAACCUCCAUAUGCUGCAGGAGCGGCCCAAGAAAUAGCAACAACAACAACAACAACAAUAACAAAAAAAAAAAAAAAAGACAAAAGACAAAAAA